rnacentral:rRNA from 1 species
AUUGAACGCUGGCGGCAUGCCUUACACAUGCAAGUCGAACGGUAACAGGGAGCUUGCUCCGCUGACGAGUGGCGAACGGGUGAGUAAUACAUCGGAACGUGCCCAGUAAUGGGGGAUAGCUCGGCGAAAGCCGGAUUAAUACCGCAUACGCCCUGAGGGGGAAAGUGGGGGACCGCAAGGCCUCACGUUAUUGGAGCGGCCGAUGGCUGAUUAGCUAGUUGGUAGGGUAAAGGUCUACCAAGGCGACGAUCAGUAGCUGGUCUGAGAGGACGAUCAGCCACACUGGGACUGAGACACGGCCCAGACUCCUACGGGAGGCAGCAGUGGGGAAUUUUGGACAAUGGGGGAAACCCUGAUCCAGCAAUGCCGCGUGUGCGAAGAAGGCCUUCGGGUUGUAAAGCACUUUUGUCAGGGAAGAAAUCCUUUGGGCUAAUACCCUAGGGGGAUGACGGUACCUGAAGAAUAAGCACCGGCUAACUACGUGCCAGCAGCCGCGGUAAUACGUAGGGUGCAAGCGUUAAUCGGAAUUACUGGGCGUAAAGCGUGCGCAGGCGGUUGUGUAAGACAGGUGUGAAAUCCCCGGGCUUAACCUGGGAAUUGCAUUUGUGACUGCACGACUAGAGUGUGUCAGAGGGGGGUGGAAUUCCACGUGUAGCAGUGAAAUGCGUAGAUAUGUGGAGGAACACCAAUGGCGAAGGCAGCCCCCUGGGAUAACACUGACGCUCAUGCACGAAAGCGUGGGGAGCAAACAGGAUUAGAUACCCUGGUAGUCCACGCCCUAAACGAUGUCAACUAGUUGUUGGGGAUUUACUUCCUUGGUAACGUAGCUAACGCGGAAGUUGACCGCAAGGGGAGUAUGGCUGCAAGGUUAAAACUCAAAGGAAUAGACGGGGAUCCGCACAAGCGGUGGAUGAUGUGGAUUAAUUCGAUGCAACGCGAAAAACCUUACCUACCCUUGACAUGGCAGGAACUUUCCAGAGAUGGAUUGGUGCUCGAAAGAGAACCUGCACACAGGUGCUGCAUGGCUGUCGUCAGCUCGUGUCGUGAGAUGUUGGGUUAAGUCCCGCAACGAGCGCAACCCUUGUCAUUAGUUGCUACGAAAGGGCACUCUAAUGAGACUGCCGGUGACAAACCGGAGGAAGGUGGGGAUGACGUCAAGUCCUCAUGGCCCUUAUGGGUAGGGCUUCACACGUCAUACAAUGGUCGGUACAGAGGGUUGCCAAGCCGCGAGGUGGAGCCAAUCCCAGAAAACCGAUCGUAGUCCGGAUCGCAGUCUGCAACUAGACUGCGUGAAGUCGGAAUCGCUAGUAAUCGCGGAUCAGAAUGCCGCGGUGAAUACGUUCCCGGGUCUUGUACACACCGCCCGUCACACCAUGGGAGUGGGUUCUACCAGAAGUGGCUAGUCUAACCGCAAGGAGGACGGUCACCACGGUAGGAUUCAUGACUGGGGUGAAGUCGUAACAAGGUAGCCGU